GUCUGCAGGGUGAAUUUUGUAUCUGCUCUCUGUGUCUCUGCAGAAUGUGCUCAUCUGUGCACAAUACCACAUGCCUAUGCUGGCGUGUUUGUCCUGAUACCUGGUGUGUGUUUCUCACACAUUUAAGAGAUCAGGCAGUGUUUAGGCAAGACUGGGACGGGACAGACUGAUACAGUAGUAGCUAGAUAAACAGACUGUCUCGGCCUGUAAAUACUACAGUAGUACCUGGUAGUACAUAAUCCUGGACACAGGGGACACUAUGCAUUCAAGGCCAGAUUAUUGGGUUGUGAAGACUGCCAGACAGGGUGCAUCUCAAUAGUCAGAAGUUGAUUCCUCUCAUUGUAUGAUUUAUUCUUCUUUCCUUACAAUCUGUUCUGAAUCUCACUUAUAUGAAUCUCACUCACAUAUAAGGACCACAUGCCCAGCUUCUCUCUUUCUCCCUGUUGUUUUCCCUUUUUCUAUCACUGUCUAUUGUUCUCUGCCAUCUUCACCCAUUUCCUACUUUGCUCUCCCUAAACCCCCCUGUCUCAUAUGCUCGAAUAACAGAGUACCUCACUCACUCUCAGGGUUGGGAGGAGAGUGUGGACACGGCCUUGUCUCACCUCCUAAGGACCUGUCUGUCUCGCAGCCCUAAGGAUCAGGACCUGUCUUCAGCAUGCCCAAAGGCUCAGGACCUGUCUGUCUCGCAGCCCUAAGGAUCAGAACCUGUCUUCAGCAUGCCCAAAGGCUCAGGACCUGUCUGUCUCGCAGCCCUAAGGAUCAGAACCUGUCUUCAGCAUGCCCAAAGGCUCAGGACCUGUCUGUCUCGCAGCCCUAAGGAUCAGAACCUGUCUUCAGCAUGCCCAAAGGCUCAGGACCUGUCUGUCUCGCAGCCCUAAGGAUCAGAACCUGUCUUCAGCAUGCCCAAAGGCUCAGGACCUGUCUGUCUCGCAGCCCUAAGGAUCAGAACCUGUCUUCAGCAUGCCCAAAGGCACGGUCUGCCUGAAGAAGCACAUCACCCUGCUGUGUGACCGCCUGGUCAAGGGGGGACAGCUAUUCCUGGCCUCCGAGGCCAACAUACCCAUACCAGUCAUGAUGCCAGGGGGCUGUGAGCCAAUCGCGGAGGCUGUUGCGGACCUGGAGGAGCCGCCCCUGCAACAGGAGUCUGCUACCAGGUUCAUCAAAUAGAAACAGCCGUCUAAGAAAGUCGAGACCAAGACAGACUUAAGCAGCCUGAAGAAAACAUUUAAGCGGCCUGAAGAAAACACUUAAGCGGCCUGAAGAAAACACUUAAGCGGCCUGAAGAAAACACUUAAGCGGCCUGAAGAAAACACUUAAGCGGCCUGAAGAAAACAUUUAAGCGGCCUGAAGAAAACACUUAAGCGGCCUGAAGAAAACAUUUAAGCGGCCUGAAGAAAACAUUUAAGCGGCCUGAAGAAAACACUUAAGCGGCCUGAAGAAAACACUUAAGCGGCCUGAAGAAAACAUUUAAGCGGCCUGAAGAAAACACUUAAGCGGCCUGAAGAAAACACUUAAGCGGCCUGAAGAAAACAUUUAAGCGGCCUGAAGAAAACAUUUAAG